rnacentral:lncRNA from 1 species
AUAAGAAGGUUUUUUAUUUAAGUAUGAUACAAGAUUUUAUCUACAGUACAGGCAAAUACAAAUAACUGAUAUAUUAAGAGGUGAAGGUUGUGGGUGAAUUGGGGGGACUUAAUUUACUGAAAUAGUCAAGAAAAACCUUCCAAGAUCCUUCAUUUUGUUUCCACUUGGGUCUCUGAUUUAAACUAUCACCAUAUCCCUUCUUCCAUUCACCCUCAAAAGCCUGUUAUAUGCAGCUCCUUGAACAUAACAUGGCUCUGAAGACAUGAUGAAGAUUAGAGGUUAAGAGCUGUGCCUUUGCAGCCAGGCAGUUUUGGGUUCCAAGUCUGAUAUCUCUCUGGGUUUUUCUCCCCAUUAGAAAACAAAGAUAUAAUACAUACACUGUUUCUUCAAUGCAAGAAACAGAUAUACAACAAAAGGGGAAUCAUUCCACUGGUCGUGGGAAACCCACUGAAUCCCAGGAAAAGCUUCGGAAAUUGAAUCCAGUCCAGGGACUUUAGGAAUGAGAAAUGAGAAUACCAUUAUGUCACCUCAUCCUCCAACAACAACAG